UUUUUCUUUAAUCAGGUCAAAAUAAAGUAUUUUCUAACACUGAUAUAUUGAAUGAUGAAACAGAGUCCUUUGAGGAUUAAAUGAAGUAGUGGGGAAAAUAAAGAGAAAAUGGUCAAAAUUAAUGAUUCCCCAUAACUCUUUUCUUAUUGAGUAAUCCAGUAGAUUCCUGAGUUGCCAGCCAUAGUCAUUAUAUGUCUAUUUUGAUAAGGCUUUCUUUUAGGCUGGAGGUGCACACAGCACAAUUAGCAAAGGGAGAUUCUUCUUGCUCACUUCCUUCUUCUCUCCUAUUUCCCCCUUUCUACCUAGAUGUACAUUCACUAUGGUCUGAGUCUAAUGUAACGGCAGAGACAGACAUCUCCCUUGAGCUGAGCUGCAGGAAAAGAGGGAUUGUUACUACUAAGAGUGGGGAUCUAUCUGCACCAAAGGGGGCCACAUGUGGCAUCUCAGAAAAAGGAACAACCUACACUGUCUCAAAGUUACAGGAUUGUUUGUGGGAAUGCAGCCUGCUGUGCCAGGAAAAUACCAGGCAGACAUGGAAGUGGAGGACCCAGCAAUAAGGGAGGGAGACAGAUGAGUAGUCACGUCACAUAGCUUAAUGGAGGACUUCCACUUUAGGAAAAUAGAGGGAAAGAGAACCAAGAGAAAGACAGCAGUUUACAAGAAACAAAGUAAAAUAGUAACUUUGGACAGAUCGUGGGGAACUAAAGGAAAUUACUAUACCACCUACUUGCAAAAUCCGAUCCCCUUCUCGAAUCCGGCCGUCUUUGGCAGCAAUGCUAUUUGGGUCAACCUGUAAUGAAGAGGACAUACAUCUUCAA